rnacentral:rRNA from 1 species
CAACGCCGCGUGAGGGAUGAAGGCCUCUGGGCUGUAAACCUCUUUUCUCAAGGAAGAAGAACUGACGGUACUUGAGGAAUAAGCCACGGCUAAUUCCGUGCCAGCAGCCGCGGUAAUACGGGAGUGGCAAGCGUUAUCCGGAAUUAUUGGGCGUAAAGCGUCCGCAGGCGGCCUUGAAAGUCUGUCGUUAAAGCGUGGAGCUUAACUCCAUUUCGGCGGUGGAAACUACAAGGCUUGAGUGUGGUAGGGGCAGAGGGAAUUCCCGGUGUAGCGGUGAAAUGCGUAGAUAU